GAUGAACGCUGGCGGCAGGCCUAACACAUGCAAGUCGAGCGGCAGCGGGAAAGUAGCUUGCUACUUUUGCCGGCGAGCGGCGGACGGGUGAGUAAUGCCUGGGAAAUUGCCCAGUCGAGGGGGAUAACAGUUGGAAACGACUGCUAAUACCGCAUACGCCCUACGGGGGAAAGCAGGGGACCUUCGGGCCUUGCGCGAUUGGAUAUGCCCAGGUGGGAUUAGCGAGUUGGUGAGGUAAUGGCUCAACAAGGCGACGAUCCCUAGCUGGUCCGAGAGGAUGAUCAGCCACACUGGAACUGAGACACGGUCCAGAGUCCUACGGGAGGCAGCAGUGGGGAAUAUUGCACAAUGGGGGAAACCCUGAUGCAGCCAUGCCGCGUGUGUGAAGAAGGCCUUCGGGUUGUAAAGCACUUUCAGCGAGGAGGAAAGGUCAGUAGCUAAUAUCUGCUGGCUGUGACGUUACUCGCAGAAGAAGCACCGGCUAACUCCGUGCCAGCAGCCGCGGUAAUAC
rnacentral:rRNA from 1 species